CUGGGUGUAGCUCAGGAGCGAGAGCGCGUGGUUCGGAUCCACGAGGCCGCUGGUGCGAUUCCAGUCACCCAGA
rnacentral:tRNA from 2 species